CACCGUGCUGCUGUCGGGCUG
rnacentral:miRNA from 1 species